GGUGUUGCACAGACCUCAGGCAGAAACUUAGAGGAGGCCAGUCUGAUGUGCAAGACACUUCUUAAAAUUCCCACUAUAGCUUUUUAAGCAAACAUGAAAUCCUUGCUGAUAACGUUUGCCUUGCUGUCAGUGGUAACGGGAAGGAAAAAGGAACAUGUGCCUUACCACCAGAAGAGACCGAGUUCUGGGAAGCCGUGAGUCAGAUGAGGAUGUGGUGCCAGGGUGGAUCUGCAGCUGAAGAGUUCAUGGGACCAGGAUGUGGCUGACUCUUCACUGGAAAUGGGGGUGUAUAAUGCCAGACAGACAAUACAGGAGCCAACUGUUCUUGGGACAUAGUCAAGAAUGACCAAAUGUCUAAUCAGAAUAAUCAAAUUGGCUGGUUUUGCCUAGAGAAAAUCAUUUUGUUUCAACAAUACCUAAAAUCUCCAUUUCCAUAAGGUCCUUAAUGAAGACUAAUUGGAGGAGUAAAAGCAACCAACCUGCAUUCAUCGAAAGCAAGUCAUACCAGAACAAAGUGAUGACACUUCUUUGCCUGGGUAACCCACUUGAAGGAGAUGAGGGCCGUGCCAGUGUGCUGAGAACAGAGAUGGGAAAUGAAUCAACAUGCGACAAAGCUUGCUGGAACCAGCAAGGAUCUUCCCAUGGGUGUCAGCAAGCUUUCAUUCAGCUCCUUUCAUAGCAGAUUUUCUGAAAGAGCUGAGCUCCCCUACAGGGGCCAGAUUUGCAAAAGAGCAGAGCAGGUGGGAGGCUUCCGGGGAAAAUCUGUUGAUAAAUGCCAAGCAGAAGCAGCAGGGAUCUGAGCUUGCUGGAGGAGCUGAGGAGAUUUCCUGAAGCAUGCUUUCAGAGAUCGGUUCCCACCUACUUUCCCACCAAGCAAGCUGCCAAGAUGUAAUGGCCACUGAGAGCUGCUCUGCAGGCUUGUUUGGGAGAAUGUGUCCAGCAGAGAUUUGUCUACCCUCAGCUCUGCUAAUACACUCCAGUGCCAGAUCACUUUAUUAAUUAUUCCAGCUCUAAACCACACCAGGUCUGCAGUCACCUUCUGGCUCUACUUACUGCACCAAAGACACUCCAUGCAAGCAGAAUUUCCUCAGCACUUCCUUCAGGCUUAAGAGAAGCAUUCUGCAAGCCUGGAUGUGAUAAACUCUGGCACUACACCGCAUGGAGUUGAAGCCAGAUUCAAGCUUGGCAGGAAUCCGCUUAUCACUAUGGGGCAUGUGAACUACAGAGUCAUUAAGGUUGGAAAAGACCACUAAGAUCAUCUAAUCCAGCUGUCAACCCAUCGCCACCAUGCCCACGUGUAACUUAACUGUGCAGCCAUGGAGUCACUGCUGCUAUUCAGGCUCGAAGCCCCAGUUGAACUGGUUCCUUCCAUGGUGGAGUGCAUAUGAUUUAGAGGAGCUCACCUGCCUUUGCACAGCUCUCCCAGGAGAAGAAAUAAGAGAUUUAGCUAGCUCUGCCCUGCUUGCAGAAAUGAGGUUUGCACCACAUUUCUCUGCUGUGAGUACAAGAGCUCAUGUGCCUGCUUUGUGGAGAAAUGCACUUCUGUGCUUUGGAUGCACUAUUUUCCUUGACCUCUGGACUGGAAACCAUUUGUGUGGGUGGGAGUCCAGCCCAACUCUGUAAUUAGGAAAGCUAUUAAUAAUUAGAGAACUUGUUAUCUACCAGAGGAUGGAGAACUACACAUGCUAUCGCAAAAAUAAAUAAAUAAAUAAAUGAUCACCUCCUGUGGAAAGAGCUGUGGUUUGCACAAUGUUUUGAGAAACGUGUAGCUGAUCUGUCAUAAAUCAUGGAUUUCUUUGUUUGCUACACCAUCUUGGAUCAGUCCUGGCCAGCAAUAGGACAGAGCUGACAUUCUUCUGAAGAAAUAGUGGGAUCAUCUCCGUGUACCAGAAGGAAAACCAUACAAAUUACAGUUUAGAUUCUCUUUAUUUCCCUACUAGCUACCAGAACAUCAAGGAAACGCAACGUCUCAGACUUUUCAAACGUGAUAUCUAGGAGCACAUUUUUUUUUUUUUUUUAAGAAAAAAAGGAAAAAAUCCAGGACUGACACCAGAAACUGAAAAUUUCAGGGAGACAAAAACAACGACAAAAAAAUCCGUGAAGAGCUGUGAGGUUCAUAAUCACAAGGAGCAAUAAUCGCAAGAGAUAGCGAUAAUGGCAACGCUGCUGCCAGAGCCAGCAGGGCAGCAGAGGCUCAGCAGGCAGGGCUUGCCCUGGUGCCCUUCACCGGUCUUUUUUACUGGCUCAUUAAGUAGAACCGUUGCAAAAAGAAGAGAGUCAAAAUUGGUUUCCCCUCAGAAAGUCAGUUUAACAGAAUUAUCCACCCACAAAUAAGUGUCAAAACAAAUCUUUCCACCUUGCCCAGCUUGCUCCGAUAAUGUCAAGUCAGUGCAUCUCAGUCCUCCUGAUAAUUUGUUCCAGUGACAUAAAAUGCUGCUUCACAACUUUGUUUCAUUCCAUUUUAGCUUUAUUACAGACAAAUUAACAUUCAUUUUCGUUUUAAUGGACCUUACCAUUUGCAGCAUUAAUAUUUUGGAUUCAGUAUUUUUAAAGCCAAGUGUGCUCUGACUCUUUUGCUGUUUGCUGUUUCAGCAUUGCUGGAAGUAAAUGUCAAUCAACAUUAUUGCAAAUGGCAUGUUUGUCCAGCACUAAGAUGGGCUGAAAAUUUCAGAAAGAGAGCUUUUUAUUAAAAUCUCAGCUUUUUUUUAACUAUCUGUUCUAUUUUUGUAUAAAACCAGAGUUUGGAAUUUCCAGAACCUGCAGUGUGGUGAAAGAUCUAUUUUUUCCUACCAUUCAUUUUCAAAUGCAGACAGAUGCUAAUGACUUUACUUUCAAAGGUCUUCAAUUAAUUACCAUGUUGAUACUCAUUUAACAAGAUUUUCUGGCCCGCACCUGUUCCCCUGUACAAGACUUUGCCUUCCCACCAUCAUCCUGAUCCCCUCUCUCAGGCUCUCUGCUUGUCACUGCUACAUAAAUUACUUUCCACUUUCAGAGUGAAAGGGCAAACAGUGCUAUCAUGAUAAGAAACCCAAGAACAAGGAGUUGCUUUUGGGGCUUGCAGGGUGCUUUUAGGGCUAGGUAG
ensembl:lncRNA